rnacentral:ncRNA from 3 species
AACCGCCGUGUACGGACCCGUACGCACGGUGGUGUGGGAGGGGUCGGGCCGCGAGGCCUGCCUCUAUCCCGAU